UAUGCCAUGUCACCGCAUGCAUGCAUGUGGAAAUCUUUUCGGAUUUUUUGUUUUUAAAAUGUUUUAUCUCUUAAAUAAAAAAUCUGAUUGAAGAUCCGUUUUCACCAUUAAAUCUCUCGCGACGAGAUCUUCGAAACUAGAUCUCAUAUCAAUAUAUUUCGACGAAUUGUUUUGGGUUAAAAGUUGUUGUGUCUAUUGCACAUGAAUUGCCAUGAUGUUUACACUGAAGUUGUUAUGAUAUGUUUCAGCUAUUUUUUUCUAUAUUUAAAAAUAAAUUUUGACAUAUUAUAAAACGGGAAAUUAAGAAACUAGACUUGACAUACACCAUAAAUUAAAAUUGCCAUGGUUCAUACAAAAAAAUAUUUUCAUGAUCAAAGUACUGGAAUUGCCAUCAUCGAAAAACUAAAAUUGUUAUGAUCUACAAACUAAAAUUGCCACAUGGCAACUUUAGUUUAAGCACUAUGGCAACUACAGUGUAAACAUCAUGGCAACUUUUGGGCAAAAAAAAAUUUUGUCAGAACAUAUCAACAUGGUCUAGUUUUGAAGAUCUCGUCGAGACGGAUUUAAUGGUGAAAACUGAUUUUUAAUUCGAUUUUUCAAUUAGGAGAUAAAACAUUUUUAAGCCAAAAACCAAAAAGAUUUAUGUUGAUGUCAUCUGUUCAUACGUGGCAAAAUGAGUAGUGAUGGAGGCGCGUGGGCGAUGUGCAAACGCCCACACGUAUGGGCGUUAGUUUUUCCGAAAAAAAACUUUUAAUUCGGUUGGCAUAUUUCCAACAAUUAAAAAAAACUGAUCAGGAUACAAUCUCCUUUUAAUUACAGCAAUCAGAGAUACAAUCUCAACAGAAUCAAACUCUCACGGCCGUGUCCCAAUCAAAAAAACUCUCACGGUCGGUAGUAGAGAUACAAUCUGUCUACAAAUAGAACAAAACUCUCACGAUCCAAACAACCUCUCUUUCCAUCAUGCACAUGUGAAUCAACUCGCCCCUUAAAAUACCUUGACUUUGCAAACCACUCAUUGUCCUGUUGACUUCAGAUUACCCAGCAUAUCGUCUUCCUCGGGUGAACAACACUUCGACAUUGGCUUCCUCCAGCGGCAACCAUCUCUCAAGUGGCUCAUUCUCCUCUUGAAUCUCCUCGACUGUAAUCGGCUCAGUCGAGCGAUCAAACCACCUCUAUCAACUGCACAUAUGUUACUCAUGCCGAUCAAUCACACUCCGGGAAUUGUUCAACUGCACAUAUGUUACUCAUGUCGAUUAUGUUGAAACAGAAAAAUCUAUGAUGUUAUUCUAAAUUAAUUAUUGCAAAUCUAUGGUGGCACGUUCAUACUAUUACUCAUCUAGAGAAGGCUUAUGCGAUGGAUGUUGAUUCCAGUGUAUUCACAUUAAGAUAAUACACUCUAGAGGACUGUUCUUCAAAACCACUCUAGGAGACUAGAACUAUGCUACAAGUUUAACUGAAACAAAUGUGAUCACUUGCUGCGAUAUAGAGAAAUAUAUACGGUGCAUCAGAAGGUUUUGAAAUUUGAUGAACCUCAAAUUCUAUGGUGGCUCCAGUUGAAUAUUUUAGCAAAUAUGGUGAAUGAAGAUCUUUAGCACAAACAAAUCAUAGUAACUGUCACUUCAAAUUUGGUCAGGAAAUUCAAUGGUAAGAAAUUUAAUCUCCUUGUGUAAACGCAAAUCCAAAUUUACUAACCAUUUAGUACUGGGACUAUCACUAUGCAUAACAAAUGCAUAUAAAGUCAUCCUGGACAUUGAAAUUCUGAAGACACCAAAUUAAUGAGAGGUAUGGUAUAAAAUAAUGC
rnacentral:lncRNA from 1 species